rnacentral:rRNA from 1 species
ACCGUGCAAAGGUAGCAUAAUCAUUAGUUUUUUAAUUGAAAGCUGGAAUGAAUGGUUGGACGAGAAAAUAACUGUCUCAGUAUAAUUUAAAUUAGAAUUUUAUUUUUAAGUAAGAAAGCUUAAAUUAGUUUAAAAGACGAGAAGACCCUAUAGAGUUUUAUAUUUAUUGUUAUAUAAGUAAUUAAGUAUUUUAAAAGUUUCUAUAAUAGUAAGUAUUUUGUUGGGGUGACAGAAAAAUUGAAUUAACUUUUUUUAUUUAUUAACAUUGAUUUAUGAGUGUUUGAUCCAUUAAUAAUGAUUAAAAGAUUAAAUUACCUUAGGGAUAACAGCGUAAUUUUUUUUGAGAGUUCUUAUCGAAAAAAAAGUUU